rnacentral:rRNA from 1 species
UACGAAGGGGGCUAGCGUUGCUCGGAAUCACUGGGCGUAAAGGGUGCGUAGGCGGGUUUUUAAGUCAGAGGUGAAAUCCUGGAGCUCAACUCCAGAACUGCCUUUGAUACUGAAAGUCUUGAGUAUGGGAGAGGUGAGUGGAACUGCGAGUGUAGAGGUGAAAUUCGUAGAUAUUCGGAAGAACACCAGUGGCGAAGGCGGCUCACUGGACCGGUACUGACGCUGAGGUGCGAAAGCGUGGGGAGCAAACAGG